rnacentral:lncRNA from 1 species
CUGUGAGCUGUGGUGUAGGUUGCAGACGCAGCUCGGAUCCGGCGUUGCUGUGGCUCUGGUGUAGGCCGGCGGCUACAGCCCCGACUGGACCCCUAGCCUGGGAACCUCCAUAUGCCACAGAAGCAGCCCUAGAAAAGGCAAAAAAAAAAAAAAGAAAAGACAAAUAAUAAUAAUAAUAAUAAAGAGGAUUUCCAUCCCCUCUCCAUCCAAGAGAACUCCUCAGAAAAACAAAAAUGCUAUAAUGAGUAAGAAACGACCAAGAUACGGUAUCUAUGACAAGUACAACCAAGAUAACUGUAUCUACGAUCAAGAAUGACAAAAUAUGAUAUCUAAGUAUGGUUUGCAGUAUUUAAAGACUGGCUAAGUUAUACUUUUUCCUUCUGAGUAUUACUAAGGGUAAAUGUAUCCUAUCCCUAAUACAAUUAUUUUUUUUUAAAUGUCUUCCUCCUGGUUCCACAAAAUGGAACUACCUACUGUGCUAUCCCUAAUUCAGGCUUACCACAGUAGAACUCUUAAAUUUGGCUCUUCAGCUGCUUCUUUCCAUGACAGCCCCCAGAACUUCCUUUGCAGAACCAGCUCUCUCACACUUAGUCCAUGUGACUGUUUUGAAUAAUGCCACUUCAGCUUAAGGUAUAAUCAUAGAACACUAGCCUAGCUAAUCUGAAUUAUAGUAAUUGAUUCAGGAAUCGGCAGGUGAUGCAAUAGAGCCAAUGAAAAGGAUAACAUCUGGACUUCUCUUGACACUAUUUUCUAAGAGGUGUUUUCUUUCCCCUCUGCAGCUUGCAAAAUGUAAAAUGGAAUGUAAAAUGUAAACCUGGAGCUGCUGGUGACCAUAUUUCCUGUCACUUGCAGAGACUCUCCCUGGGAAUGAAGCCAACACAGGGGUGCAGAGAGACAGAUUUCUGACAGUACCAUUUAAGUACUUGGACCCUGUCAUUCCUGAGGCUGUAUGGAUGACUGUCCUGCUCAUUUUGAAGAGCUCUUGGCAUCUCGUAAAUAUGAAGGAAUAAACGGCACUGCCCAAACAGGUCUUAGGUCUUCAAGGAAAGAACAUGCAAGUGCUUGUGGGUCUUGCUUACUAGGUUCUAAGCCUUUUCUUGGCUCCUCUCUUGACAGUGCUUGUGAGUGACUAUAAAAUCUCUCCUGGCAGCAGAGAUACCAGACAGCUUCAGGCAUGUAGACAACUGUCCCCAGGUGCAUUAUGAUUCCACUUGCUAGGUAUUCCACUUGCUAGGUAAAUGCUAUAAUCAAAAGUUAAAUUGGAUAAAUUACCUAUCAACCUUUGGUGUCUUCUGAUUCCUGGGCCAAACCCUAUAAUUUUGAUCACAGGGAAUUUUGUAUUGACUUUCCACACACAUGACUUCAGGUCGUAAGUGUCUGGUUGUGCCAUCACUUCUCCCAUCCCCCACCAGUUCUUGUCUUUUUAGCAACGCAGCUCUUU